rnacentral:rRNA from 1 species
CAAAGGAAUUGACGGGGGCCCGCACAAGCGGCGGAGCAUGCGGAUUAAUUCGAUGCAACGCGAAGAACCUUACCAAGGCUUGACAUGAACCGGUAAUACCUGGAAACAGGUGCCCCGCUUGCGGUCGGUUUACAGGUGGUGCAUGGUUGUCGUCAGCUCGUGUCGUGAGAUGUUGGGUUAAGUCCCGCAACGAGCGCAACCCUCGUUCUAUGUUGCCAGCGCGUUAUGGCGGGGACUCAUAGGAGACUGCCGGGGUCAACUCGGAGGAAGGUGGGGACGACGUCAAAUCAUCAUGCCCCUUAUGUCUUGGGCUUCACGCAUGCUACAAUGGCCGGUACAAAGGGUUGCGAUACUGUGAGGUGGAGCUAAUCCCAAAAAGCCGGUCUCAGUUCGGAUUGGGGUCUGCAACUCGACCCCAUGAAGUCGGAGUCGCUAGUAAUCGCAGAUCAGCAACGCUGCGGUGAAUACGUUCCCGGGCCUUGUACACACCGCCCGUCAAGUCACGAAAGUUGGUAACACCCGAAGCCGGUGGCCUAACCCUUGUGGGGGGAGCCGUCGAAGGUGGGACCGGCGAUUGGGACUAAGUCGUAACAAGGUAGCCGUACCGGAAGGUGCGGCUGGAUCNCCUCCU